GCAGCCGCCGCGGUAAUACGGAGGGGGCUAGCGUUGCUCGGAAUUACUGGGCGUAAAGCGUACGUAGGCGGCUUUGUAAGUUAGAGGUGAAAGCCUGGUGCUCAACACCAGAACUGCCUUUAAGACUGCAUCGCUUGAACGUCGGAGAGGUGAGUGGAAUUCCGAGUGUAGAGGUGAAAUUCGUAGAUAUUCGGAAGAACACCAGUGGCGAAGGCGGCUCACUGGACGACUGUUGACGCUGAGGUACGAAAGCGUGGGGAGCAAACAGGAUUAGAUACCCCGGUAGUCCCUGUCUCUUAUAC
rnacentral:rRNA from 1 species